GGCUGGGCUGUUCGCCAUUUAAAGUGGUACGCGAGCUGGGUUUAGAACGUCGUGAGACAGUUCGGUCCCUAUCUGCCGUGGGCGCUGGAGAACUGAGGGGGGCUGCUCCUAGUACGAGAGGACCGGAGUGGACGCAUCACUGGUGUUCGGGUUGUCAUGCCAAUGGCACUGCCCGGUAGCUAAAUGCGGAAGAGAUAAGUGCUGAAAGCAUCUAAGCACGAAACUUGCCCCGAGAUGAGUUCUCCCUGAGACUUUAGGUCUCCUGAAGGAACGUUGAAGACGACGACGUUGAUAGGCCGGGUGUGUAAGCGCAGCGAUGCGUUGAGCUAACCGGUACUAAUGAACCGUGAGGCUUAACCUU
rnacentral:rRNA from 1 species